rnacentral:rRNA from 1 species
CGCGGCUGUGCUCUCGGGCCAGUUUUGCGGAGGCUGAAUUAUUUAUUACCCUUGUCUUUUGCGCACUUGUUGUUUCCUGGGCGGGUUCGCCCGCCACCAGGACCACAUCAUAAACCUUUUUUAUGCAGUUGCAAUCAGCGUCAGUAUAACAAAUGUAAAUCAUUUACAACUUUCAACAACGGAUCUCUUGGUUCUGGCAUCGAUGAAGAACGCAGCGAAAUGCGAUACGUAGUGUGAAUUGCAGAAUUCAGUGAAUCAUCGAAUCUUUGAACGCACAUUGCGCCCUUUGGUAUUCCAAAGGGCAUGCCUGUUCGAGCGUCAUUUGUACCCUCAAGCUUUGCUUGGUGUUGGGCGUUUUUUGUCUUUGGUUGCCAAAGACUCGCCUUAAAAGGAUUGGCAGCCGGCCUACUGGUUUCGCAGCGCAGCACAUUUUUGCGCUUGCAAUCAGCAAAAGAGGACGGCAAUCCAUCAAGACUCCUUCUCACGUUUGACCUCGGAUCAGGUAGGGAUACCCGCUGAACUUAAGCAU